rnacentral:rRNA from 1 species
AACGCUAGCGGCAGGCCUAACACAUGCAAGUCGAACGGUAACAGAGAAGAGCUUGCUCUUUUGCUGACGAGUGGCGCACGGGUGCGUAACGCGUAUACAAUCUACCUUUUACAGGAGGAUAGCCUUUAGAAAUGAAGAUUAAUAUUCCAUAGUAAGUUGACUUGGCAUCAAGAUAACUUUAAAGUUUCGGCGGUAAAAGAUGAGUAUGCGUUCUAUUAGCUAGAUGGUGUGGUAACGGCACACCAUGGCAACGAUAGAUAGGGGCCCUGAGAGGGGGAUCCCCCACACUGGUACUGAGACACGGACCAGACUCCUACGGGAGGCAGCAGUGAGGAAUAUUGGACAAUGGGCGAGAGCCUGAUCCAGCCAUGCCGCGUGCAGGAAGACUGCCCUAUGGGUUGUAAACUGCUUUUAUACGGGAAGAAACCUAGUCACGUGUGACUAGCUGACGGUACCGUAAGAAUAAGGAUCGGCUAACUCCGUGCCAGCAGCCGCGGUAAUACGGAGGAUCCAAGCGUUAUCCGGAAUCAUUGGGUUUAAAGGGUCCGUAGGUGGAUAAUUAAGUCAGGGGUGAAAGUCUGCAGCUCAACUGUAGAAUUGCCUUUGAUACUGGUUAUCUUGAAUUAUUGUGAAGUGGUUAGAAUAUGUAGUGUAGCGGUGAAAUGCAUAGAUAUUACAUAGAAUACCAAUUGCGAAGGCAGAUCACUAACAAUAUAUUGACACUGAUGGACGAAAGCGUGGGGAGCGAACAGGAUUAGAUACCCUGGUAGUCCACGCCGUAAACGAUGGUCACUAGCUGUUCGAACUUCGGUUUGAGUGGCUAAGAGAAAUUGAUA